rnacentral:rRNA from 1 species
GAUUUCUGGUUUAAUGCACCUGGCCCGCGGCCACUAGGCUUGUGAGUGCCGGCGCGCGUUUACCAUCCUUCUAGAAAACGAUUCUGCCAUUCACUUGGUUGGGAUCGCGAUCUAGAUCUUUUACUUUGAAAAAAUUAGAGUGUUUAAAGCAAGCUUUUGCUAUGAAUACAUUAGCAUGGAAUAAUAAUUUAGGACUUCGGUUUUAUUUUGUUGGUUUUCAGAACUGAAGUAAUGAUUGAUAGGGACAGUUGGGGAUGCUGAAAUUCAUUGGCCAGAGGUGAAAUUCUUGGAUUCAAUGAAGUUCAACUCAUGCGAAAGCGUU